AGUAACUAACUACUGUUUGUGUGUGUGCUACAGGGUAGGUCUACCAGGUUAUUGUGUGCUACAGGGUAGGCCUACCAGGUUAUUGUGUGCUACAGGGUAGGCCUACCAGGUUACUGUGUGCUACAGGGUAGGCCUACCAGGUUAUUGUGUGCUACGGGGAAGGCCUACCAGGUUAUUGUGUGCUACGGGGAAGGCCUACCAUCUUAUUGUGUGCUACAGGGAAGGCCUACCAUCUUAUUGUGUGCUACAGGGAAGGCCUACCAUCUUAUUGUGUGCUACGGGGAAGGCCUACCAGGUUAUUAUAAGUAGCCUAUAGGCCUACAGUCUAGGUUUGCGUGGCUAGAGAUUUAAGGCUCAUCGUAUUGUACUUGUUUGGCUGGGUCUUUAG
rnacentral:lncRNA from 1 species